UACGGGGGGGGCAAGCGUUGUUCGGAAUUACUAGGCGUAAAGGGCGCGUAGGCGGCCGGCUCAGUCGAACGUGAAAUCCCCGGGCUCAACCCGGGAACUGCGUUCGAUACUGGCUGGCUUGAAUCCGGGAGAGGGAUGCGGAAUUCCAGGUGUAGCGGUGAAAUGCGUAGAUAUCUGGAGGAACACCGGUGGCGAAGGCGGCAUCCUGGACCGGCAUUGACGCUGAGGCGCGAAAGCCAGGGGAGCAAACGGG
rnacentral:rRNA from 1 species